AAUAGAUACCCGGGUAGUCCACGCCGUAAACGAUGAGUGCUAAGUGUUGGGGGGUUUCCGCCCCUCAGGUGCUGCAGCUAACGCAUUAAGCACUCCGCCUGGGGAGUACGGUCGCAAGACUGAAACUCAAAGGAAUUGACGGGGGCCCGCACAAGCGGUGGAGCAUGUGGUUUAAUUCGAAGCAACGCGAAGAACCUUACCAGGUCUUGACAUCCCGGUGACCACUAUGGAGACAUAGUUUCCCCUUCGGGGGCAACGGUGACAGGUGGUGCAUGGUUGUCGUCAGCUCGUGUCGUGAGAUGUUGGGUUAAGUCCCGCAACGAGCGCAACCCUUAUUCUUAGUUGCCAUCAUUCAGUUGGGCACUCUAAGGAGACUGCCGGUGAUAAACCGGAGGAAGGUGGGGAUGACGUCAAAUCAUCAUGCCCCUUAUGACCCGGGCUACACACGUGCUACAAUGGACGGUACAAACGGUUGCCAACCCGCGAGGGGGGAGCUAAUCCGAUAAAACCGUUCUCAGUUCGGAUUGUAGGCUGCAACUCGCCUACAUGAAGCCG
rnacentral:rRNA from 1 species